rnacentral:rRNA from 1 species
UACGUAGGGUGCAAGCGUUGUCCGGAAUUAUUGGGCGUAAAGAGCUCGUAGGCGGUUUGUCGCGUCUGCUGUGAAAACUCGGGGCUUAACUCCGGGCCUGCAGUGGGUACGGGCAGACUAGAGUGCGGUAGGGGAGACUGGAAUUCCUGGUGUAGCGGUGAAAUGCGCAGAUAUCAGGAAGAACACCCGUGGCGAAGGCGGCUCUCUGGGACGGUACUGACGCUGAGACGCGAAAAGCGUGGGGGAGCGAACAGG